GGCAAAGAGAAACUGAAACUUGAAGCGGGCGGCUUGGUGGGAAGACGGGAGGCCCCGGGGUGCAGAGGGCCGGCUGAGCACCUCCCAACCCCGCCCCGAGGGUCCCCAGGCACAGGAGGACAUUCAGCAGAGGGGCGCCGGAGGCCGGGAGGAGUCAGCGCAGGGGCUGCAGGAAAGCACGCUGACAGCUCGGCGUGCACCCGGAGCACCUGUCCUCUCCCCCCCAGGACGGCCUCCUGGACCCGGGUGACAGUCAGCCCAAAGCUGCCAUGUGCUUCUCUGUCUCCCAGGACACGGGAAGGUGGAGACAGACGUAGCGGACAGUCCCGCCCUGAACGCAAGGAGAUCACAUUGUCCACUCGGUGUCUCAGACGCAGAAGUAAAUCAGAACAUCCCAAAAGCAGAGACUACCCGCUCAUCACUAACCCGGCUUCAGGAACGUGCAGACUUUACCUGUCUCCCCACUGAACCUCGGUUCUACCUGGAAGGACUCUUCUGCGCCCUCGUGGGCUGACAGCCCAGAGACGCCUCCUCCUCUGCCUGGAAAAUGCACCCAAGACGGACAAUACAUCAGGUUCCACGGAGCAGACAGACUCCCCUCCUUCUGCCCUCAGUCCGUGGAGCCCAGGUGACUUCGGUGUUACACCUGCUUCCAAGCCCAGCAGCCAAGAAGUCCCAGGUCAUCUCCAGCACCUUGAAGAUCUGCCUUGGAGUGUCCUGGGGCGGCUGUGACGAAGUGCCCCAAACUGGGGGCUUAGAACCACAGGCAUCCAUCCUUCCCCAGAGCUGGAGACCAGACUUCUGAGGUCAAGGUGUCCCAGGGCCGCACUCCCUCCAAAGGCUCCAGGGGAGGGUCCUCCCUGCCUCUUCCAGCUUCUGGGGGCUCCAGGCGUCCAUCCCUGGGCUGGUGGCCGCCUCCCUCCCAUCUCUGCCUCCGUCUCCACGUGGCGUCUUCUCUGUAUCUGUGUCUCUCCUCUUCUGUCUCUUCUGAGGUCACUGUCCUUGGAAGUAGGGCCACCUCCUCCAGGAGGACCUCCUCUCAGACCCUGCACUCUAUCCCAUCUGCAGAGACCCUGUUUCCAUAUAUGGCCCCAUUCUGAGGUUCCAGUGGACAUAAAUCAGAGGACACUUGUCAGCCUCCUCCAGGGAAUUCCUGUGCCUUUUUUUCAUUUAUAUUUCUUUCUGUUUUACAGAAGUAUAGUGAAUUCCAAUGUGUCCUGUGUCUUUAACCAGGACACCCCAGGGACCUCCUUGGGCUGGCUCACUGAGUGAUCCCAAAGCAGCCCAGAAGCCGGGUCACUGCAUCCGCGAAGAGAGAGUGCCCAUUAGCAUCAUGCAGCCAGGUCCUGUUUCAGUGUGGUGGCCACAUUCUCCAAAUUCGUUGUCAGCAGACAGACCACGGAAGAACGUCUUCCUGGAAUUUCUGCUUCAAGAUGGUCCACAGCUGAGUGAAGUAAGACAGACAGAGACACAUAUAGGGUAUCACUUGUACGUGGAAUCUAAAACAAAUUUUUUUUCAAAUGAUGCAAGUUCUAUUUACAAACCAAAAAUGAACUCAGAGACAUAAUGAACUAACUAUGGUUAUUAAAGGGGAAAGGAGGCGGGACGGAUAAGUCAGGAGUCUGGGAUGGGCAGAUACACAUGACUGUAUAUAAAAUAGAUAAACAGGAAGGUCCUACUGUAAGCACAGGGAACUAUAUCUUGUAACAACCUAAAUGGAAAAAAUAUGAAAAGACAAUAUUUAUAUAUGUCUAUGCGAAAAAAAAAAAUAUGUUCCUUCUUCUGCCUGAGGGUCCAGGUAUGUCAAAUUCCAGAGAUUCCGCACCCAUGGGACCACACGGGUGUGGCCUCACCCGUGCGUCGGACAGUCAGGUGUUUUGCUAUUAAAGACUCCCUCCCUCAGGCUGCAGCCUGGAAGUGGAGGUCGCGGAAUCCGUCUGCACCCCUUGUGGUUUUCAGUCUGCCCCCCUCACCUCAUUCCAAGAUCGCACCUUGACAGGGAUGCUGGGCCCGGCAGAGCCGGACACAGGCUUGUCGUCGAAGCCAUGCUCACGUCCCAGAUGCACCAUGAGGCCAAACAAACGGAAACGCUGGAGUUUGCAGCCGAGAAAGGUUUAUGGCAGGACCCCGCCAGGGGAAGGGGUGGCCCCAAACUCCCCAUGGUUUGAGGGGAGACAUUUCUAAUAGGCAAAAUGUGGGGUGGGGGCUGCAGGGGUGUGACUUGUCUUCUGAUGGGCCGGUGGGGAGGCACCAGGACGGGGCUCCAGGAAUCCUGGGCUCAGCCUGAAGGCGCCAUCCUCCACCUGGGCGGGGGCCUCAGUUCCUUCAGGAGAACUCGGACGCAUUGUUCUGGAUGUGCCUCCCCAAGGCUGCACUCUUGUUUCUUGAAGGUUGUUCCCUCGUUCUCUGCAUCCCCGCCCUUCCCUGAUUAGCUACUGUUUUGACUCUGUCCUUUGGAGCUCAGGGAAGGCCCAGGAGGCUGAAGGAAGUCUGUCCCACUAACAAGAAACGGGAAGUGGGGGGAAGGGACAGUCCUGCUUGGUUUUACCCUGAAGGGCAGAGUCAGGGGAGUUGACUCAGGUGACAGGUCUGAACGCCUGGGAGGAGGUGGGGUGGAGGGACGGGCCAGGACCCAGGGCAGCCUGAGAUCACGGGGUCCCCAGGGAGGAAGAGGGUCUUGUAGACACCCACACACAACGGCUUCUUCAAGAACCACAGCGGGGCUGAGACAGGAGGGAAGGGGCGGGGCAGAGCCUUGAAAGGAGUGACACAGGAAUCAGCACCAAGCUGGCACAGAAGUCAACUCCCAGCGGACCCGGAGGCGCAGGGUGGCGGGCGCUUCGCCCUCGUGUAGACCUUGAGCGAGGCUACGCUCCUUGUAACGCAUCAGCAGGGCCAGUGGCGCUCCCACGGGCGCCGUGCCUGUCCCAGGCUGACCCUGAGAGGUCGGAGAGUGGGCGGUGGUCCAGUCCCUGGGGAUCCCCGCCCCUUCCCCAAAGCAGCUGGAACAAUCCGCCUACUUGUCAGCAUGUGAGAUAACAGGGCCCAUAAAAACCAACAGCCCACAGCUCGUGGCCUUUCUCUUGCCUUGUGAGACGGCCGCACUCUGUCUGCGGAGCGUGUUUCUGCUUUUCCUUUAAAGUGAGCGCCCAGCCCAGCACCUCGCGGCCUCUCCGGCCACCUGAGACGGCCGCACUCAGUCUAGGGCGCGUGCAUCUCUCUGAAUAAAUCCGCUUUUACUCAAGUGUGGCUCGCUCUUGAAUUCUUUCCUGCACGGAGCGAAGGACCCACACUUGGCGGGGCGCAUCCCAGGGACCUACCUGGCACCUGGGACACGGCCAUCCUCUCCUGCCCCAGAUGUUUCCUGCAUCAGUGGGGCCUUCAACUAGGAGUCUCGCUCUGCUGUGUAAAUUUUCUGAGGAUGAAAGUCUGUCCCACUUCUGACUUCCAAGAAAGCCAGCUCCUGGAGACGUUGCAGGGGGAAGGGACCCUCCUACACUGUGCAUGCGAAGGCAGACUGCUGCAGCCGCUACGGAGAACAGCCUGGUGAUUCCUCAAAAAACUAAAAAUAGGACCAGGAGGAGACGGCGUGGAGUCCCGGCGGGUCAGGCAAAAAAGCUAAAGAGAACCGAAAAAGUUCCCAAGCCUCCUGCCAAGCCGAGCAAAGUAGCGGAGGACACGGAGGAGGAAGAAAGAGAGACCACGUCCCAGGCCCGAUCUGCAAGGGCCAGUGGGAAAAUAAGGAACAAAUUCUCAUCUUUUCUUCCAGAGAAGUGAAUUUCAGAACAAGACAUUUAAAGCAAGAUUUGAGAAUGUUGAUAUCUCCUUCUUUUUUUUUUUCCCCUUUUUCAGUUUUAUUGGGUAGAAUUGUUACUGUUCAACUGCACACACACAUUACACUGCAUGUAAAUACAUGUGCACGAUGUACUGCACAUGUUUUUUUACUUUACAUAUGUGUGCUGUGCAUUGUCUCUGAGAACAAUUUAGAGCUUCAGCUUUUUAAACUUACAUAGUUGUCAAAGGAAUCAAGCCAGCCCCAAAAUAAGAAUCAAAAGAAUGCAGUCAUCCAGUCAUAAAUCGGCUGACAUAUAUUCAAGAAAUCAGUCAUCAGAGUUAUAAAUAAUGACUAAUUCAGUUGUGUCCUUAUUUAUUUUAUUUAUUUACUUAUUUUAGAUUCCACAUAUAAGAGAUCUCAUAUGAUCUUUUUCUUUCUCUUUCUGACUUAUUUCACUUACAAUGAUCAUCUCCAGGUCCAUCCAUGUUGCUGCAA